AACGAACGCUGGCGGCAGGCUUAACACAUGCAAGUCGAACGCAUCCUUCGGGGUGAGUGGCAGACGGGUGAGUAACACGUGGGUGAUCUGCCCUGCACUUCGGGAUAAGCCUGGGAAACUGGGUCUAAUACCGGAUAGGACCACUGCCUGCAUGGGUGGUGGUGGAAAGCUUUUGCGGUGUGGGAUGGGCCCGCGGCCUAUCAGCUUGUUGGUGGGGUGAUGGCCUACCAAGGCGACGACGGGUAGCCGGCCUGAGAGGGUGACCGGCCACACUGGGACUGAGAUACGGCCCAGACUCCUACGGGAGGCAGCAGUGGGGAAUAUUGCACAAUGGGCGCAAGCCUGAUGCAGCGACGCCGCGUGAGGGAUGACGGCCUUCGGGUUGUAAACCUCUUUCAGCACCGACGAAGCGCAAGUGACGGUAGGUGCAGAAGAAGGACCGGCCAACUACGUGCCAGCCGCCGCCGUAA
rnacentral:rRNA from 1 species